GAUUUAAUAGUUUAAUAAAAACAAUGAUUUUGUAAAUCAUAAAUAGUGGUAUCUUUAAAUCA
rnacentral:tRNA from 1 species